GAUGAACGCUGGCGGCGUGCCUAAUACAUGCAAGUCGAGCGAACGGACGAGAAGCUUGCUUCUCUGAUGUUAGCGGCGGACGGGUGAGUAACACGUGGAUAACCUACCUAUAAGACUGGGGUAACUUCGGGAAACCGGAGCUAAUACCGGAUAAUAUUUUGAACCGCAUGGUUCAAUAGUGAAAGACGGUCUUGCUGUCACUUAUAGAUGGAUCCGCGCUGCAUUAGCUAGUUGGUAAGGUAACGGCUUACCAAGGCAACGAUGCAUAGCCGACCUGAGAGGGUGAUCGGCCACACUGGAACUGAGACACGGUCCAGACUCCUACGGGAGGCAGCAGUAGGGAAUCUUCCGCAAUGGGCGAAAGCCUGACGGAGCAACGCCGCGUGAGUGAUGAAGGUCUUCGGAUCGUAAAACUCUGUUAUUAGGGAAGAACAUAUGUGUAAGUAACUGUGCACAUCUUGACGGUACCUAAUCAGAAAGCCACGGCUAACUACGUG
rnacentral:rRNA from 1 species